ensembl:lncRNA
GCUGCUGUUCCAGCAGAUGCCAGUAUGGUGGGUGUUUAAAUGGAAGUAGGGAUGUACUGGCAGCUUGCUGGGAAAUCAAGAGCACUUGCUAAUUGAUGUAGAAGGGAGCACACUGCAGCCGCUUCUGUCUCAAAUGCCAGACUGUGAUCUGUGGAGACCACAUCUCCCAACAUGGGUGGUUCCUCUUAGCCGGGAUGUGGUUGGUGCCACAGACCCGUAGUCCACCAAACACAGCUCCAGCCUGAAGAUGUGAAUAGUCACUGGAUGCCUUUAGCUUGGGUGCCCCUUGCACCUAAAUUCCUUGUGCUUUAUUGUCACGCUGUCGGUGUUUGUGAAUUUUGGCACUGUGGUUGAAAGUUCCCCUACAUGGCAGGGUAGGAAAUGAUUAUCCUGUCGUAUACUCAAGAGCUGCUGCUUUGUUGGAGAGGUUUGUUGGCACAUGGGUACCAUGUGCAUUUCUUCCUGCAAGUACAGAGGGCUCAGUUGCAGAGGUUUAUGUCUUUCUCUUUGUCCUGCUCAGCUCUUCACACACUGCGUGAGAACUAACAACGUGAAGGUAAAAACAGGGGCUGUGCUCUUCAAGUGUUAGUAUCAGAGCAGAAGCUUAGUGCUCAGGUAGAACUAAAUCAGCCAACUUUUUAGCCCCAGGCUAAUGAGGAAGCCUUGAAAGUGAAGCCAGGAGGACUGAUGCAUGGUGAUCACAAAAUUAAGUAAUCACAAAAUUCUCACACCUCAUAGGGAGAAAUGCUCCAGACCCAAAUACCUGGGGCUUCACACCAUUGUCAUGCCUAAGAGAGGCUCUGCGUGAGGCAGAACAAAAAUACAGCUGCUCUGUGCACCCACUCCCACAGCUGCAGCUAGCUGCAAAUAUUCACUGUUUGCAGACAAAAAGCUUGAUAGAGGAAUAUGGACAGUGUUAAUAGUCUUGGUUCAUUUGAACGUGGAUACAGAAGUCACACUGAUGGCCACUGACCAUCAGUCGAAUCCUGAAGUUGUUCACAUCUACAGGAAAGGAAAGGAGCAUGAGAGCUGUGGCAGGGUGGCUAGGAGAACAGGCUACUCCUUGGACAGCUGAACAGCAAAAUGUCUAGGAAUGGGUGACAGGAAUUACCUCUUUACAUGACAGUCUCAGUGUUGCCUGUGCUAAGAAUUCAUCCGGCUCAGUGCUGACUGUUUCCACUGAUGUUGUUCAGGUAAGAAGCACAGCUUCUGCUCUACAAACAUGCCCUCAUCUUUGCAGAGAAGCAUGGGGAGCAUUUAGUCACACAAUAGAAGUAGGGGAAGGAGAGGAAAGUGUGACCACUUCUUCAGGUGGCACUUCAUGUCAAAUUGACUUGGGGGGAGGGUCAAGCUACCACCUAAAUAUGCCUUGUGUGUUCAGAAGCUAGAAAACAGAAUAAAGCCAAAGACAGAUUCUUUCCAGAAAUAUAAACUGUACUGGCACUUGUAUUAGUUUGUUGGGGGACUGUUCGUUUAAGAGUGCUCAGAUGGUAAGACUGGAAUGUGAAGCCUUUACCAGAUGCUCCACCCAGGUUUAGAUGCACAUGCCAAACAUGACCUUGAAAGAGCUUGGAGAGAGGGUACAGGACUAUUAACAGGGUUAGCAAACCUGCCUUAGCACAGGAGGCCAAUAAAGCACAAUCAAUGUAUUUGUUCAAAAGGAGGUUUAGAGUUUUCCGUGGCCCAGCAUCUGUUGUUGGUGUGUGGCUGCUUCCUUGCUUCACUGCAAA